UCAUUCAAUGUCGAUCGUGAAUCAUUAUCAAGCGUUCCAUCCUCGUCACUCUAUCUCAUAAAUCUCUUCAACGUGGAUUCCAUUCUUCCCCAUAUGAAUCCCCAUCAUUUCCACUAUUCCAUGGCUUAAUUAAUCCAAUUCAAUCAUCGAUUCCAAUCUCCAAGGCUAUUGUUUAAUGAAUCUGGCUUUAAUUCUGAUUUCCAGCUUCCAAUUCAUAGCUUCUUCAUAUCGAUGGUUCAACCGUGGCUGACUAUAAGGGGGGAACCACAUCUCCAGGUGGAUUCAAGUUCUCAUCUCCAUCCUUGCAUCUAUCAUUAGGUAAGCGUUGAAGGAACCCUUCAAAUUUGCCGAUUUUGUAUCUUUGUCAAUCAAUAUCGUCUAAAUCAAACAUUCACAGUUUGGAAAUCAUACAUGUAGGUUUCUCGUUUAUGGUCUUUCAGGCUUUAGGUCAUUUUUGUUUGUUGCAAGCUUCUUGUGUUCGUCAAUCAAGAUUUGAAGAAGGUAAAUAUUUCCUGGUUUCAUCUUUUAGUUUAAUCGGCUGUCUUCAAAUAGUCUUAGAUCCUGGUUUCAUCUUUUUGUUUCAUCUUUUGGGUUUAGUACUUGUAAUACAGAGUAGAUCCUUCUAAAAUUUGAACUCUUGAAACUGGAGGAUUUUAUAUAUGCUUACAACUUCAAACAGUUGAUGUUUAAUGGUCUCAUCAUUGUCUUACAGUUGUUGUUGUUUAAUCGGUUGUAGGAAUGGAGGGUGAAGCUCAGGCUGUUGCACCGGAAAGAGCAGUUCAAGUUCCAGAUUGAUGAGACCAUUAAACAAUGAACAACCAAUGGAUGUUGAAGGUUUUGUGAUGGAAGAUAUUGAUUGAUGAGCUGGACUGCUAGUGUUGGUGGACGAGCACUGCUGAAUUUGCUGGACUGUUCUUGUUGUUGACUUGUUGUUACUGAUUUACUACUAGUGUAGUGUUGUUUGGAUUUUGUUUCCACAGUUUGUUAAGUUUGUUUAAGGAUGAUGGAUGGAUAAGUGUUUUUGGUUAAGUUUUCACAGUUUAAGUUACAACUGAAUCCCACAAUCUAGUUAAGUUUUCAAUUUCUGCAAUUUUUUGAAAUUUCUAAAAUUUUCAGCAAUUUAUGCAGUUUUGG
rnacentral:lncRNA from 1 species